rnacentral:rRNA from 2 species
GAUGAACGCUGGCGGCGCGCCUAACACAUGCAAGUCGAACGGUUAAAGCACCUUUUAGGUGUGUAUAAAGUGGCGAACGGCUGAGUAACACGUGGGCAACCUGCCCUCCUCUUGGGGAUAGCCUCGGGAAACCGAGGAUAAUACCCGAUACUUCAAUGUGGCCGCAUGACGACAUUGAGAAAGCUUUUGCGGAGAAGGAUGGGCCCGCGGCCUGUUAGCUUGUUGGUGGGGUAGAGGCCUACCAAGGCAAUGAUGGGUAGCUGGGUUGAGAGACCGACCAGCCAGAUUGGGACUGAGACACGGCCCAGACUCCUACGGGAGGCAGCAGUGGGGAAUCUUGCACAAUGGGCGAAAGCCUGAUGCAGCGACGCCGCGUGCGGGACGAAGGCCUUUCGGGUUGUAAACCGCUUUUCAGCAGGGACGAGGCGAAAGUGACGGUACCUGCAGAAGAAGCCCCGCUAC